UACGUAGGUGGCAAGCGUUGUCCGGAUUUACUGGGCGUAAAGAGCGCGCAGGCGGUCGUUCAAGUCGCGUGUGAAAGCCCCCGGCUCAACUGGGGAGGGUCACGCGAUACUGAUCGACUCGAAGGCAGGAGAGGGUAGUGGAAUUCCCGGUGUAGUGGUGAAAUGCGUAGAUAUCGGGAGGAACACCGGUGGCGAAGGCGGUUCUCUGGGCAUGAUCUGACGCUGAGGAGCGAAAGCAUGGGGAGCGAACAGG
rnacentral:rRNA from 1 species